rnacentral:rRNA from 1 species
GAUGGGAGCUUGCUCCCUGAUGUUAGCGGCGGACGGGUGAGUAACACGUGGGUAACCUGCCUGUAAGACUGGGAUAACUCCGGGAAACCGGGGCUAAUACCGGAUGGUUGUUUGAACCGCAUGGUUCAGACAUAAAAGGUGGCUUCGGCUACCACUUACAGAUGGACCCGCGGCGCAUUAGCUAGUUGGUGAGGUAACGGCUCACCAAGGCGACGAUGCGUAGCCGACCUGAGAGGGUGAUCGGCCACACUGGGACUGAGACACGGCCCAGACUCCUACGGGAGGCAGCAGUAGGGAAUCUUCCGCAAUGGACGAAAGUCUGACGGAGCAACGCCGCGUGAGUGAUGAAGGUUUUCGGAUCGUAAAGCUCUGUUGUUAGGGAAGAACAAGUGCCGUUCAAAUAGGGCGGCACCUUGACGGUACCUAACCAGAAAGCCACGGCUAACUACGUGCCAGCAGCCGCGGUAAUACGUAGGUGGCAAGCGUUGUCCGGAAUUAUUGGGCGUAAAGGGCUCGCAGGCGGUUUCUUAAGUCUGAUGUGAAAGCCCCCGGCUCAACCGGGGGAGGGUCAUUGGAAACUGGGGAACUUGAGUGCAGAAGAGGAGAGUGGAAUUCCACGUGUAGCGGUGAAAUGCGUAGAGAUGUGGAGGAACACCAGUGGCGAAAGCGACUCUCUGGUCUGUAACUGACGCUGAGGAGCGAAAGCGUGGGGAGCGAACAGGAUUACAUACGCUGGUAGUCCACGCCGUACACGAUGAGUGCUAAGUGUUAGGGGGGUCUCCUCCCCCUUAUUGCUGCGGCUGAUCCCAUUAUCACUCCGCCCCGCGGAGGAGGGUCGCGGGACUGAAACUCAAAAGAAUUGACAGGCGGCC